GGGCGCGUGUCCGAGUGAGAAGGCAUCGGGUCUUUUACCCGCCGUCGGAGGUUUGAUCCCUCCCGCGCCCU
rnacentral:tRNA from 1 species